GUUUUUGAACCGAACAAUUACUGCGUGUUGAUCGGACUCGGAUACGUGCAAAGUUUAACAUACUGUGGCUUUUUUUUUUAAAGUUAUUUUCUUGGCAAAAAGAGACAAAUAGUAGCCUAGCUGCGAAUGUUGUCUCUAAAAUGUAAGUUACUCAGUAUCUCGUGUAAUAUUGCUUGACUGUCCCGUCGAAAGGACCUUUUUCAAAAGACCAUCUCUUCAGGGAAAUAAUUUUGUUGUUUACAGUCAUGUGAUUCUGUAUGGGGGGAUCGAUACUGAUACUCGAACUGAUCUUUAAUUAUCCCCCUGGACUUAUUCGGUUUAUUAAUAAUAUAACAUAAGUGGAGGAGGGCCGCCACAACGAAUGAGUGGGACCCAGAGGAGUAUUUAGGCAGCUGCUGAGGCCUCCGUCCCAGCCCUGGUAUCAUCCCCCCAUCAGGCACUCCUUGAAGUGGUUUUAUAAGACAUGACGAGGGAGCCCGGGCCGAAAGUGAUCAGCGGGCGACGCACAUCUGAAACCCAUUUCCCGCAAUUAAAGGGGAGAGACUAUCAGCUCCAAACAUCGCCUGUUUCCACGGUAUCCGUUCAAACAUUCGCCUCGCGCACACAUUCCCAUAAACAGUGACAGAACAUUUCCAAAUAUAUUUGUUUAGAGAAAAAACACAGUGACCAUUCCAGCUGGGCCUGAGGGGGGGGGCUUCUAUGGAUCAAUAAAGGUCUGGUUUUUGACAGCGCUUUGCAUGUUUGAGAGCAGUCCCAGCAUCCACACCUGGGAUGGGACCCUUCUCAAUGUGCAACGGCGUGAGUGUGUGUCCACUUUAAGAAGUGCUUCCCCCGUCGAUCCUUUCACUGGUCGUUUUCUCUCUAUUUGGGAGCUCAUCAGACUUCAAACACAAUAAAACAAAUACCAGACAUGCAGCUAGUGGUAUGGCAGACCUGAUUGCAAUCAAGCAGAAACUGCAAUCAAGCCAAUUUAACUUGAAAAUGCAUUGUUAUAAUUCCAACACGCAAAGAGAUAGUAAACAGCUUUGACUUAGCAUUGUCUGGUUCACUGCUCCUCAUGCUGAAGUCUAAAAAUGCUUUGGCUGAGAGCAUAACUUCUGAUGAUGGCUUUGUGAGAUAAAGAAUUUGUUGGUUUGCUGAAGAAGCACUGCAAGAGACUCUUGUACUGUUUCUUUAGUGUGUUUUGGUUCAUAUUAAGGUGUUUAUUUGAA